AUGGUGCAUUUUACUGCCGAGGAGAAGGCUGCUAUCACUGGCCUGUGGGGCAAAGUCAAUGUGGAAGAGGCUGGAGGCGAGGCCCUGGGCAGGCUCCUGGUUGUCUACCCCUGGACCCAGAGGUUCUUUGAUAGCUUUGGCAACCUGUCCUCUGCCUCUGCCAUAAUGGGAAACCCCAAGGUCAAGGCCCACGGCAAGAAGGUGCUGACCUCCUUUGGAGAAGCUAUUAAGAAUUUGGACAACCUCAAAGGUGCCUUCGCUAAGCUGAGUGAGCUUCACUGUGACAAGUUGCACGUGGAUCCUGAGAACUUCAGGCUCCUAGGAAACAUGAUAUUGAUUGUCUUGGCAACCCACUUCAGCAAGGAAUUUACCCCGCAGAUGCAGGCUGCCUGGCAGAAGCUGACAAACGCUGUGGCUAAUGCUCUGGCCCACAAGUACCACUAGCUGCCUGGCCUACCAUGCUGGUGCCUAUCCGAGGGCCCAGUGUCCCAGCAGUUCAUCUCCUGAAGACAGAGGGAGAGAGCUUUCUGCAGACAUAAAACUCCAAUAUAAUACAAAUGAAAUAAAAGUCAUGGUCUAUAAUGAAUGUCCUUGUAU
rnacentral:lncRNA from 1 species